rnacentral:rRNA from 1 species
AUUGAACGCUGGCGGAAUGCUUUACACAUGCAAGUCGAGCGGCAGCGCUGGGGCAAUCCUGGCGGCGAGCGGCGAACGGGUGAGUAAUACAUCGGAACGUACCCAAUCGUGGGGGAUAACACAUCGAAAGAUGUGCUAAUACCGCAUAAGUCCUGAGGGAGAAAGCGGGGGAUCGCAAGACCUCGCGCGGAUUGGAGCGGCCGAUGGCGGAUUAGCUAGUUGGUGGGGUAAAGGCCUGACCAAGGCGACGAUCCGUAGCUGGUCUGAGAGGACGAGCCAGCCACACUGGAACUGAGACACGGUCCAGACUCCUACGGGAGGCAGCAGUGGGGAAUUUUGGACAAUGGGCGCAAGCCUGAUCCAGCCAUUCCGCGUGAGUGAAGAAGGCCUUCGGGUUGUAAAGCUCUUUCGGACAGGGAAGAAACGGUUAUGGGCUAAUACCCCGAGCUAAAUGACGGUACCAUGAAGAAGAAGCACCGGCUAACUACGUGCCAGCAGCCGCGGUAAUACGUAGGGUGCGAGCGUUAAUCGGAAUUACUGGGCGUAAAGCGUGCGCAGGCGGUUUAUGUAAGACAGAUGUGAAAUCCCCGGGCUUAACCUGGGAACUGCGUUUGUGAGCUGCAAGACUCGAGUACGGCAGAGGGGGGUGGAAUUCCACGUGUAGCAGUGAAAUGCGUAGAGAUGUGGAGGAACACCGAUGGCGAAGGCAGCCCCCUGGGCUCGAUACUGACGCUCAUGCACGAAAGCGUGGGGAGCAAACAGGAUUAGAUACCCUGGUAGUCCACGCCCUAAACGAUGCCAACUAGGUCGUUGGG